UGCUUCCGAUAGCAACGCUUGUGUUCAAACUAUAGAACUAAAGAAGAUGGUGUCUGAUCCGAUCAAACUUGCGACAAUAUUUUUGUCCACGUGGCAACAUGCAAACAAUGAUGAACUAAUCUGUCAUCGAUCGAUAAGUUUGCUCAAUGGCGAGGCAAAAGUACUUGCGACGAUCGCGGUUCCUCUGCGAAGCGAUCGGAUCUCUUCGGACGACUCCCGGAAGCUCUCCUCCGCCGACGAAGCCCCUCAAUCCCGAGGAGACCGAGGAGCGGGUUCUCCGACGCCGUUAAUGAGACCCCGAAGUGGGACUCCGCUAGAGGGACCGUGAUCUGAGGUGGAAUUAGGCAAAGGAAGCUCUUGAAAUUUGUGGAUGAACUACAUAUCAAUGCUAACCGUGGAAUUGCUUAUUGCUCAUUUGGUGUCGACAGGAAUUUGGUUCCAAGGAUUUAUCUCAUGGUCUUUAGUUUUUGGCAUAAUUCGACGAUCGGGGUGUACUAUCAAAUGCCUUGUUGUUAAGCUUAGCAUGGAUGGAGAGCCAUACCUUAGAAAAGUUAUCUAAAAACUGUUCCAGCAUUAAGGAGCAUUCUUCAGUACCCGAGAAGAUGUUUACCUGAUUUACUAUGGGUGAGCUAUGUCAUUUUCCAAUGCAUUGAAACAACUUUUUCGGUCUUCUCUAUUGCUUGCAAAUAAUUACAUGACUUGGUAGCUUCAAUUCUUUGUUUGCUUUAAAGAAUUUGAGAUCAGUGGUACAUGCUAUAUAACUGGUAUGUGCUCUAGAGUUGUGAAGCCUUAGAAACUGAUCUCUUGGAUUAGAAGGGAGAUAUUAGCAAUUUUAAUUAAAGUGCUAUAGCGGGCGCUUUAUGAUAAGUCAUGAUUACAAGUGCCUAAUACUGUUGCAGAUAUCGUUACUGUGUUCGUUAUUUUAUUAUACCAAAGUUAGUUAAGGUGCUUUUCACAUAACUUUGUUUCUUUGUUUCUGUUCUAGUGGGUUUUAUGGGAUACUUUAAUGUAUUGAUGUUGAGCUGACUGAAUAGUUUGGGUAUUUUUCUUCUUUUGGAGCCUUGCCGUCAUAUACAACUUCUUAUAUAUGUAGUUUUGCAACAGAGAUGGACAAUCUUUUCAUUAUGUUUCUCUUUACAUUUAAUUCUGUUGAUGGCAAACCUAAAUAAGUUCUCAUUGUUAUCAGAUCCAUAUUGUGUCUACUCAAGUAAUAUUGUAUAUUCUUGAUUUUAGGUGUCCGUUAUCAAAUAUUAAGCUAUUCUGACCCACGUAUUAUUUUACCAUGUCAUGCCCCCAGUGGCAAUUAGUUCUUGGAAUAGUAUUUUCUAUCAGCAUGUGAUGUGCCAAUGCAUGCACAACGACAUAAGCAUGCAUAGUAAAAGGAAAAAGAAAAUCAUAACAGACAUUAGGAAGAAAAGACAAAGUAGCCUUUUAUAGUCUACUGUACAACAUGCCUUCCAGCACAAUCAGACAUUCAGAAUGUAAACUUGUGCAAUUAUAUAGAUGCACGGGAAUUCAUGGUAUAAUCAUGAGUGCCAAAGUUCUUACCUCACAAGAGUUCCCAGUUGAAUGAUUCAUUACCAUCUAAGCUUCUUGGAUUAUUGUUGUACAACGAGAGAUUUGCUUGUGUCUGUAUUUCUUGCUGUCAGGCCAAUGAAUUUCAGUUGGAACAACAUAGAGACUACAGAGAAGGGCGAAGCUAGGGUUGGAUGAUGGAUCUUUAUCAAGGGUCUGAGUAUGUACUUAUGAAGACAAGAGAUGGGUAUUGGAUGCUCAUCAUCAAUAUACCUUCAGAAAUGUUUAAUAAUCAUUGCAGAUGGCCGAGGAUCAUGAAGAUUUCAGAUCUGGAAUUUGCACCAAGGGCCACGAUGAAGUGUCAGAGCUGGCUGGAACUAGCAACAUCUUGGAAGAUCAGCUUGGUGCAUUAUAACCUUAUGGCCGCAUGGAGAAAAGCUUCGGUGUCGUGAGACCAGCAAAUGUAGCGAACAAGAUGGACCCAUGUACGUGUUCUUUGGAUUCCUGCUCAGUGCACUCUGAUGAAAGCUUGGGCAAUUACCUAAAAGUGUCAGGCUUUUGCCUUGCUCUCUCCCAGUUCUUCACUGAGUGUUUACCUUCCACGUCCAGGUUAAUAAAUUAUUGUGGCUGUCACAUCAUGCUGACAUGACCAUGAUGCAGCAUCGUAUGAGUAAUUAUUGGUCCAGCAUUGCAUCAUUAUCAUUGAUUGUCACAUCAACAUGAUGUAUUUAUUUAUCACAUUGUUAUCAUCUGACUGUCACAUCAUUUGUUACUCAGAGAGGGCAGUUUUAUCUUUUGGCAUGUAUGAUCAACUUAAUUAGAUGCUUAAUUACAUUUAAUUAUGGUUCUAACA